rnacentral:rRNA from 1 species
AUGUCAUGGCCAUCCUCUCUCUCCUCUCUCUCCACCGCACACCACUCCUCUCUCUCCCCCAUGCAACGAACCCUGGCGCUCCCUGAUCCAGAUCCCUCCCCUCCCCUCGCCGCCAUCCACCGCCGCUCGCCGCCGGCCUCGACCCCCUCCCUCCCCUGCCCUCCGAACACUAUCGCAUGCCAGAUCCACUACAGCCCCCACCCUGGCCUCUCUCUCCCGUACUGCACGCCGCUGCCACACAUGGCACCGUGCAGCAAGGGGCUCGCAUCGCUCUGA